rnacentral:rRNA from 1 species
CACGUUUGCUCCGGAAAUAUUGGGCGUAAGGGCUCGCAGGCGGUUUCUUAAGUCUGAUGUGAAAGCCCCCGGCUCAACCGGGGAGGGUCAUUGGAAACUGGGAAACUUGAGUGCAGAAGAGGAGAGUGGAAUUCCACGUGUAGCGGUGAAAUGCGUAGAGAUGUGGAGGAACACCAGUGGCGAAGGCGACUCUCUGGUCUGUAACUGACGCUGAGGAGCGAAAGCGUGGGGAGCGAACAGGAUUAGAUACCCUGGUAGUCCACGCCGUAAACGAUGAGUGCUAAGUGUUAGGGGGUUUCCGCCCCUUAGUGCUGCAGCUAACGCAUUAAGCACUCCGCCUGGGGAGUACGGUCGCAAGACUGAAACUCAAAGGAAUUGACGGGGGCCCGCACAAGCGGUGGAGCAUGUGGUUUAAUUCGAAGCAACGCGAAGAACCUUACCAGGUCUUGACAUCCUCUGACAACCCUAGAGAUAGGGCUUUCCCUUCGGGGACAGAGUGACAGGUGGUGCAUGGUUGUCGUCAGCUCGUGUCGUGAGAUGUUGGGUUAAGUCCCGCAACGAGCGC